rnacentral:rRNA from 1 species
UACGUAGGGGGCAAGCGUUGUCCGGAUUUAUUGGGCGUAAAGAGCUCGUAGGCGGUUUGUCGCGUCUGCUGUGAAAACCCGAGGCUCAACCUCGGGCCUGCAGUGGGUACGGGCAGACUAGAGUGCGGUAGGGGAGAUUGGAAUUCCUGGUGUAGCGGUGGAAUGCGCAGAUAUCGGGAGGAACACCGGUGGCGAAGGCGGUUCUCUGGGCCUUACCUGACGCUGAGGAGCGAAAGCGUGGGGAGCGAACAGG